rnacentral:tRNA from 1 species
GCAGGAAUGGCGAAAACGGUAAACGCACUCGACUUAGAAUUGAGAAACUGGGAGUUCGAAUCUCUCUUCCUGUA